rnacentral:rRNA from 1 species
CCUACGGGUGGCAGCAGUGGGGAAUAUUGCACAAUGGGGGAAACCCUGAUGCAGCGACGCCGCGUGAGUGAAGAAGUAAUUCGUUAUGUAAAGCUCUAUCAGCAGGGAAGAAAAUGACGGUACGUGAGUAAGAAGCCCCGGCUAACUACGUGCCAGCAGCCGCGGUAAUACGUAGGGGGCAAGCGUUAGCCGGAUUUACUGGGUGUAAAGGGAGCGUAGACGGCAGUGCAAGGCUGGAGUGAAAGGCGGGGGCUCAACCCCCGGACUGCUUUGGAAACUGUGUAACUGGAGUACAGGAGGGGCAGGCGGAAUUCCUGGUGUAGCGGUGAAAUGCGUAGAUAUCAGGAGGAACACCGGCGGCGAAGGCGGCCUGCUGGACUGAAACUGACGUUGAGGCUCGAAAGCGUGGGGAGCAAACAGGAUUAGAUACCCGUGUAGUC